GCGUCGGUGGUGCACGGUGCACCCCUCUUUAUUUCAUUUGAGUGUCAGUAUUGAAGGGGGAGACCGGGGUUCGACUCCCCGCCGACGCA